rnacentral:lncRNA from 1 species
GUUCCGGCCAGCUCUCGGGGUGUGCGUCAGAUGCGUAGAUGAUGUUUUGGUGGUCUGGGAGGAUGAGAGCGGGGUUGCUGAUCUUGAAGGUGCCUUCGCGCUCCCGGAGUGUGGAUUGGGGUUGGAUAGAGCACGGAUGGGCCGGGAAGGUAUGGGUUUCCUCGACAUGGACAUCCAUCUGGGGAGGGCCGAGCUGUCAACAACCGUGUGUGGGGGGCCGCAGUGCCAACCGAUAGUUGUACCGAAUUGGUCGCCGGACCCGGUAUCGUUUGGGAGAGCGGCCUUUGGAGCCUUCUUUGGACGUGCUUACAUAUAUUGUACAGAGCGGGGUGACCUGGAGAGUGGGC